UGUAACUUAAAUUAUUUGACCGACAUGUUCUUGAGGUAAGAACAUGUUUAUGAUGCCUUAUACAUGAUCCUUGUACAUGUUUAUGAUGCCUUAUACAUGAUGAUCCUUCUACAUGUUUAUGAUGCCUUAACAAGUUACUAAUGAUCAGGUGAUUAAGUAAGGAAGAAAGUCGUUAUGACGGGGGGGCUUUUAUGAUUAUCGAUGCUCAAAGUUGAAGUUUAUGAACAUAAUUAUGUAGAACAAAUCACAUUGAGGUAAGAAAUCUCAUGAAUGUGCAGUUUCCAUCACAGACUAAAAUGAGAAAACAGAGCUAGAGACUAAUUUCACAACUAAUCUGAAAUAACAAAAACAAAAUUUGGAAGCCCUAAUAUCCUUUGCUAAAUCUGAGAUGUUACAUGGUUCUUAAUUGUAGGGGCAGGAACUAAAUGAUGCUAACUCAUUGGCUGAAGUCAUAACACUAACUCUAAAGUGUGCUUUGAGUUGUUUCUAGAAACUUGAUUUUAAUUUUGCACUAUAAAAAUAUUUUUUUGACUAGCUGUUCUUCCAGGUGUUUCUGACAGGAUGGAUAGACUCAAUGGCUGAAGUCACAACACAACUCUGAACUGUGAAUAUGCUUUAUUGUUUCUUUAUGUGAUAAAUGACUAGUCUAAGCUUCAGUUUUUUGUUCUUGCCUUUUAAUGUAUUAUUAAACUAUUAUGGCUUGUAAUCAAUGUUUUAAAUUAAUUUAUUCUGCCUGAUUUUCCAGCCGUUAUCCUUGCUGAAAUCCUAGAAGAUGAUGUUUUGGUCUUCCCCCACAUGUUCAGUACUUAUUGAGAUAGGUCAUGUUUACAUGGUUCCACUUAAGCAUUCAUCUUUUCAAAAGUAACAUGCUCUGUUUUAUUGGAACUUAUAGGUAUAAGAGGAGUUUGAAAGAGUUGCAUAAAAUGCUUCAUUGGUGCAAUGAGCAUUUCAACAGUUCAGCCAUGUAAACAAGGAGGCACUAGAUCAACAUGUAAAUCUCACUAGGAAACAGGAGGAACUUCAGACACGGCAAGCUGAACUUGAGGCAAGUGACAAGGUACCACGGUACUGGAUUUUAAUGGUUAAAUGUCUUCUGUUGUACUUAUUGUUUUUAAUGUGAGAUUAUGAUUUAUGUAUCUUUACUUCAACGACAAACAUAAGCCAUAAAAAAAUAGACUGAGCUUGAGCCUGAUGUGAAAGACGUGCUAGAGAGAAUUUCAGAACAUAUCCAAGCCAAGGAUGAUGCUAUGAUUUAACGUGUGCUAUGCUAAAAUGUAAGGUAUCUCCUCAACUAAACUUUUCCACAUAUUACUACCUAAGGUAUCUCCUCACUUUAGGUUUUUGUCCUCUACUAUCAAUAAACUAAUUUAUUCAGCUAACAUGGUCGGUAAUAAUAAAACACAGUCUAGUAGAUGGAGAAUUUGCAAAUAAGUAAUUAAAACAUCAUUAUUUAAGAAUUAUUUGUGUAUUUUGUUACUUAAAUUAAUAUGUUAGGGGAUUUUAUACCUUCUUUGAUUUGACCUAGUGGAGGAUUUGGGGGACCUGAAUAGACACACAUAGUCGAGUGAAAUUUGAUUUUUUGCAAUUUGUACAGGUUUCCUUACUCUUGUGGAUAUGAACUCUUCUACUUUCGUUGUAGAUUCAAGGAAGCUUUUGUGGAUUUCUAAGUUUUCUUUCCUUCACUUGUUGUUGGGUGAUUUUUCGUUUUAGUCCAAGGAACCGGAACCAUCUUGUUAUGAGAAAUAAUUGAUUUUUCUUUUCCACAUUAACUGGGCACUUCGAUGAUAAGUUUUUUACCUUUUCCAGAUGUUGUACUGGCUACAAAUGUUCGGGAUUUAUUCAAGGUCUAUAGCAGUAAUUAGUAGAUGCCCACCAUUAUACUAAAAACAAGACCCCUUUGAAAAUUUCUAGUUUUAUGAUGAGCUGUCUUCAAGGUUUAUGUGUAAAUGUAUGGAUUAAUUGAAAUUAGAUAAGUAUGUUUUGUUACUUGGUAUGAGUAUGCAAUUGAACUUCUUAAUUCUGUUGUUGCAAGUCCUCAUGCUUCUCUUGCCAUUUCCUUUAUAUUCUGAUUUUUUGAUGUUAAAGAAGUCAUCUACUUCAGGAAGAAAAUUAUAGGCUGAAUGCAGACUUCAAAGAGCGAAAUGCCUACGUUGAGAGCUGCAGAGCUGAAAUCGUUAUUUUCUAGUCUCAUGAAGGAUUCAAUAGUCAUAAAGCAUAGAGAAACAAGCUACAGGAAGCAUAUCAUGGUGAAAAAGGAAAGUGAACUUAUUGUUGAAUUUGAUAAGCUAAGACCACAAGUGUUCUUAUUCCUCUGCCGUUGGGUCCUAUUUAUAGGAAAAAUCUCUUGUAGAUGUCACUAAUCAAAUAGUGAGCUUAAAGCCACUGUGACCACGAAACAAGGUGAGGCGGGCACAGAGCUCAUUGAUCACUUGACACCAUAGGAAAAACAUGAACUAUCCCAGCUGAACUAAGAAAUAAAAGAUCUUAAAGAGGAGCUUAUUAAAUUUAGAACAGAUCGCAUCGAGGUAAGAUAUCUCAACCUUGUUGAGAAGCAACUGUACUUAUCCUUAACAGGUAUUUGUUCUGUUUCACAUGAAGCUUUUGUGGCCUUCCAAGCUACUUCCAUAUUUAUGAUCUGCUUUCUGAUAGGCCUCUUGCUUGCUGUCAUGCAUGCCUAUAUGCUAAUGGGUGUAUGGUAAUACAUUGCCCCAAAAGUUUCUGUAUAUUUAUGGCUAACUGAGGUGGGUGACUUUUUGGAAGAAAAUAGUUUAUUAUCGUUUAUUAUUGCCACCUGUUGCACUAGAGGUGAUAGACUGAUGUUGCACUGAUGUGUCUUGGCCUCAAACCCUAGAAAAAUAAUAUUACUUGUCACUGAAAAAUGAGUAAAUAAAAAGAAACGAAUUAUUCCUCAUGCUUUUACAAUGUCUAUCUGCUAUUUGUGAUUUAUUAAGAUACAUUUUGAGUAUUAACAUUAGUUUUUGUUACUAUGAAGGCAAAGGUGAUGGUACAAAUGCAGAAUCUGGAGCACAAGAAGAAGAUUUUCUCAUCCAGGAUGAGAUUUCUAAAUCUCGUCUAGUGAGCGUCUAGCGUGAGGAAGAGACAAUUUUGCAUGAGAGAGACGGCUAUGAACUGGAAGAGGGACGUCUUAUACGUGAAUUGAAAAGGAUACGAGAUGAGGAUGAUUCAAGUUUUAAUAAUUUUCAGAUUUUAAAUCAUCAAUAUGCCCUUUUAAACCUUCUUGGGCAAGGAGGAUUUAGUGAGGUUUACAAGGUCCGAACUUCGGCAAGUAGUUUCAAUUGAUAAUAGAAAGUAGUUUCAUUUGAUAAUAGAAACACUAACCUUUGCUUGUUUGAUGAAAAUUCUUAUAUACCAUGACAAGAGUAUAGAUCAUUCUGUUGCCAAUAUUGGCAAUUGUAAAAGCACAUCCUUUUGCAGUGAUUUGAAGUGAGAAAUUUCCGGCAGGCUUAUGAUUUGGUCGAGCAUAGGAAGGUGCAGGGCAUCAUGUUUUAUCUGUUUUUGUUGAGAUUGUGUUGAUAAUUCCGACAAUCACAUCCCGGAAAACUGAAGUUAUGAAUUUAUUGGAAAGUGGUGGGUUCUCUUGCUCCAAUCUAUACUAUGUAGAGUAGUAAGGAAAGGUUUGAUUCUUUGAACCUUUUGUUAUUGCUUAAUUUUCCCAAAAAUUAUGUAUAUUAUUUUCCUAGUGAUUUUAAAAUUUCUUUUGUUUCCCGUUACAAUGAUAGCAUCAUUGACAGUGAUGAAAGACUUUGAGUGUCUUGAUUUAUUGAAAGAUGUUAGUGGCACUCAAGUGUAUGAAGAGAGAUGCCAUGAAAGAAUAUUUGAUUUCUUGAACCUUUUGUUAGUGCUUAAUUUUGCUAAAAAUUAUGUAUAUUCUUUUCCUAUUGAUUUUUAAAUUUCGUGUUUCUUGUGACACUUAAUAGAUAGCAUCAUUGACAUUGUUGACAGACUCCGAGUGUCUUGAAUGUGGGAUGCCAUGAAAGUUUGAAAAUUAUUUCGGAAACAUGCAAGGAAGGGAUAGUUGAGGUGGGUUUUCUUCUGUUGAUGGUUUUUCAGGUUGUAUAAUUUUAUUUUCUCUGUUAAACAGGGAUCAAUAGAAAACAAAUAAUUCAAGUAGUUCAGUACUUGGAUGAGAGGCUGAAGGACCGGUAUGAAGAGAAAAGGGAGCUGAGAAAAUAUCAGCAGCUUGACAAGCAGUGAAAAUCUCUAGAAUAUACUAUUUAUGAUAAGGAACUCCAAUGAGCUCAACAUAUAUUAUUGGAGGUGAAGGAGGCUCGAAGCAAGGUCUCUGAGAAAUUGGCUAAGAUGCAUGAUGAGGUGUUGAAUGCCCAUGAGGAAUCUAAGGACUUGGAGAAGGUGCUCAAAGAUCUUACAAAAGAAGUUCAAGCAUUGAACAUAGAGAAAGAGGUAGCAGAGAAACGAGAAACAGGAAGCGAUAAAAAAAGCAGAAAGAGCUUGAGCUUGAUAUGAAAGACCUGCAAGAGUCCCUAGAGUUAUAAUGGAGCGUGAAAAGCAGCUUAGCAUCCUUUAUCAAAAAACAAGGUCGGGCAACCCAUUUUCCAGCAAAGCUACUCGUGAACAAAGGCUGCAAAAGCAAAAUGGUGAUUUACAAUGUCUUUUUUCUUCAAAUUUGGCUCAGGCAAGAGUUCAAAUUAGUCUAUUAUGAUACUUUAACAUCAAUGCAGAUGUAUGCUAGUGUUGUCAGAAUCUUCCAAUAGGUGGCACUUUCUUAUCUUAUGCUCAUCAUUUAAUUUGGAAAGGACUAGGCCCUCAUAUCUGAUAAUUCCCUGAUCAAAACACAAUGUUAAGGGUUUUCUUUUUUAUUUUCUUUUUUGAAUUGUUUAGGUAGUUUUAGUAAAUUGGACUUAACAGGAGCUAUAUCUAAAGAAAUGAUUAACCUCUCUGGCAUAUUAUUUGUUCAAUUUCUUCAUUUUGUUUCCAUUCCUUGGAUUGCAGGCAACUUGUGUUUUUUUGCCUUUUCUUUUCUUUAUAGUUAUGCAAAUUUCAAGAGGUUACUCCUUAUUGAAUACUAUAGGGGUGUGCCUUAGAAUAGGAUGUUACUCUUUAGUAUAUUUAGGUGUGAAAAGGACAAUGUCAACACACUUCUUGAAUGCUAUAGGGGUUUAGCUUAGAAUAAGCUAAAAUGUAAGGCAUCUCCUCAAGUAAAAGUUUCUACAUGUUACUACCUAAUUUAUGAUUUCAGCUGAAAAUUCCUCUCACAAUAAACUAAUUAAUACAGCUGACAUUGCAGAUAAUAAUAAAACAUGGUCUAUAGAACACAAUUAUUUAAGAAUUAUUUGGGCAUCUUAUUUCCUGCUUUGGUUUGGCCUAGUGUAGGAUUUGAGGGACCUGUAUAGGCACCCAUUUUUUCAAGUCUUAAUGCUAGAUGCUUGUUGAGUGAAAUUUGAGUUUUUGCAAUUUUGCAUGUUUCCUUACUCUUGUGGAUAACAACACUUCUACUUUCUUGUAGAUUCAGGGAAGCUACUUGUGGAUUUCUUGGUUUUUUUCUUUCCUUAAUUUGUUGUUGGGUGAUUGUUUUCAAUUUCACAUGUUUCCUUGCUCCUGCGGAUAUCAACACUUCUACUUUCCUUGUCGAUGUAAGGAAGCUUCUUGUGGAUUUCUACGUUUAUUUUGUUCUUCACU